rnacentral:rRNA from 1 species
AGCGAACGCUGGCGGCGGGCCUAACACAUGCAAGUCGAACGAAGUCAUCGGACUUACUGGCUGACGGGUGAGUAACACGGGGCAACGGGCCUUUAGGUUCGGAAUAACUCAGGGAAACUUGUGCUAAGACCGAAGGUGCCCUGCGGGGGAAAGAUUUAUCGCCUUUAGAGCGGCCCGCGUGUGAUUAGCUAGUUUGUGAGGUAAAGGCUCACCAAGGCGACGAUCAGUAGCUGGGCGGAGAGAAUGAUCAGCAACUUUGGGACUGAGACACGGCCCAAAAUCCUACGGGAGGCAGCCGUGGGUAAUCUUGCGAAAUGGGGUAAAUCCUGACGGAGCCAUGCCGCGUGAAUGAUGAAGGUAUUAGGAUUGUAAAAUUCUUUCACCGGGGACGAUUAUGACGGUACCCGGUUAAGAAGCCCCGGCUAACUUCGUGCCAGCCGCCGCGGUAAAAC